AUGUCUCCAAAUAAGUGUGUUUUUGGAUGUGAGGGCAAGUUUACCGUGUUCAGCUUCCCAAAGAACCCAGCAUUACAUGAACAGUGGAUGCAGUUUGUUUUUCCGGGGCAGCAACGGAGUGUAGCAAGUGCGUUUGUGUGUUCUCGUCAUUUCAGUGAUGAAUGUUUUAUAAACAAGGCCCAGGUCGACGCUGGAUUUGCACAUGGUUUGCUAUUAAAACAUGGAGCGUUCCCAGUGAUAAAGACCCCAUUCAUGCCGGAUUGGACACCUGCACAGGAUGCAUGCUGCUCACGGGUCGUGACUUUGACACCACUAAAGCAGAACAAUGCCAAGUGAGUAAUCAUUUCUGUAUCACUCUCUUAUGCAUGACCUUAAUUUUGGUUUUCUGUAUUUUGCACUUGCAGACUCAUGGCCCGUUUUGCAAUAACAUUGUCAAUUCAACCUCCACACUAAAAAAAAGAUCUUAGUAUGUUUGUCCUGUUUUUCAGUACAAAUACCUAAACGUUUUUAAAUCAAGAUACAUUUAAUUGAGAAGCAAACUGACACAAGAUAUUAAGUAUUGUUUUCUGAAUAUAUAUAUAUCAAAAUUAAGUGAGUUUAUGCUUAAAACAACGAAAAGCAUCUGCCAAUGGAUUUACAAAAAA
ensembl:lncRNA